rnacentral:rRNA from 1 species
GACGAACGCUGGCGGCGUGCCUAAUACAUGCAAGUCGAACGAAGCUUUUCUGGUGCUUGCCCUAGGAGAACUUAGCGGCGCACGGGCGAGUCAUACGUACAGAAUCUCCCCCAUAGACUGGGACUACUAUUGGAAACGAUCGCUAAUCCAGGAUAACAGUAUUUCUCGCUUGGGCGGCAUUUAAAAGUUUGUUUUGCUAACAAUAUGAGAUGGCUUUGCGGUGCAUUAGCUAGUUCGUGGGGUAAAGGCCCCCCAAGGCGACUAUGCAUAGCCGACCUGAGAGGGUGAUCGGACACACGGUGACUGAGACACGGCACAGACGCCGGCAGGAAGCAGCAGUAGGGAAUCUUCCGCGAUGGAGGAGAGCCUGACGGAGCAACGCCGCGGGAGUAAAGAAGGAUUUCGGUUCGUAAAGCGCUGUUGUUAGGGAAGAAGGAAUGUGUAGUAAAUAGACAUGUAAAAGACGGUACCGAGCCAAAAAGCCACGGCUAACUACGUG